rnacentral:rRNA from 1 species
UACGAAGGGGGCUAGCGUUGCUCGGAAUCACUGGGCGUAAAGGGCGCGUAGGCGGCCUUGUAAGUCGGGGGUGAAAGCCUGUGGCUCAACCACAGAAUUGCCUUCGAUACUGCAGGGCUUGAGACCGGAAGAGGUUAGUGGAACUGCGAGUGUAGAGGUGAAAUUCGUAGAUAUUCGCAAGAACACCAGUGGCGAAGGCGGCUGACUGGUCCGGUUCUGACGCUGAGGCGCGAAAGCGUGGGGAGCAAACAGG